GAAAAGUUUGAUUCUUACUUAAAAUUUUUAUGAUAUAAUUGGAUAAUAUAUGUAAGUUUUACGGGCCUAGUAAGUUAUUUUUAUUAAAUAAAAGUGAAAGUUAAGUUUAUUAAUAUAAUAUAAAAUAUAUUAAAGUCGCAGUAUUAAGUAUUAAAAAUAAGUGGAUGCUUGAAUUAGUAAUUAUAAGAAAUCUGAUUAAAUAUUGUGCCAGCAGUCGCGGUUAUACUUGGAGAUUAAGUGAAAAUAAUUUGGUUAAGUAGUUAAGUUGAGUGUUAAUUUAUAAUGGAAUUUAGAAUAAUAAAAGGUAAAAUUGGUUGAUUAUUUAAUAAAUAAAGGUAAUAGAUUAAUAUUUUAUAUGAGGCUAUAAAAUUUAAGGUUCAAACUAGGAUUAGAUACCCUAUUAUGCUUAAGCUUAAAAUAAUUAGACUUGAAGAUUAAUAGAUAUAUACUUUAAACUCAAAGAAUUUGGCGGUAUUUUAGUCUUAUUAGAGGAACCUGUUUUAUAAAUGAUAAACCACGUAAUAUCUUACUUGUUUUUAUAUAAAUAUGUAUACCGUCAUUAUUAGAUAACUCUAAAAAGAUAAGUUGUUAAAAUUGAAAAAAUUAAGAAUAUUAGAUCAAGGUGCAGUUGAUGAAUAAGUAAAAAUGGGUUACAAUAAAUUAUAUUUAUACGGAUUAAAAUAAGAAUUUAAAUUAGGAAGGUGGAUUUAAUAGUAAAAGUGAAUAUAAUAAGGCAUUUUGAUUAUAGCUCUAAAUUAUGUACAUAUCGCCCGUCGCUUUCAUUAAUUAAAGUGAAAUAAGUCGUAACAUAGUAGGUGUAUUGGAAAGUGUACCUGGAAGUUA
rnacentral:ncRNA from 1 species